rnacentral:rRNA from 1 species
GACAGAGGGUGCAAACGUUGUUCGGAAUUACUGGGCGUAAAGCGCGUGUAGGCGGCUAAGUAAGUCGGGCGUGAAAUCCCACGGCUCAACCGUGGAAGUGCACUCGAAACUGCAUAGCUAGAGUCCUGGAGAGGAAGGUGGAAUGCUUGGUGUAGAGGUGAAAUUCGUAGAUAUCAAGCGGAACACCGGUGGCGAAGGCGGCCUCUG